rnacentral:rRNA from 1 species
UAGGUUGAGCCUACGUCGGAUUAGCUAGUUGGUGGGGUAAAGGCCUACCAAAGCGACGAUCCGUAGCUGGUCUGAGAGGAUGACCAGCCACACUGGGACUGAGACACGGCCCAGACUCCUACGGGAGGCAGCAGUGGGGAAUCUUGGACAAUGGGGGAAACCCUGAUCCAGCGAUACCGCGUGUGUGAAGAAGGCCUUCGGGUUGUA